rnacentral:rRNA from 1 species
AGUGAACGCUGGCGGCAGGCCUAACACAUGCAAGUCGAGCGGCAGCGGGUCCUUCUGGAUGCCGGCGAGCGGCGGACGGGUGAGGAAUACAUCGGAAUCUGCCCUGUCUUGGGGGAUAACCUAGGGAAACUUAGGCUAAUACCGCAUACGACCUACGGGUGAAAGCGGGGGAUCGCAAGACCUCGCGCGACAUGAUGAGCCGAUGUCCGAUUAGCUAGUUGGCGGGGUAAAGGCCCACCAAGGCGACGAUCGGUAGCUGGUCUGAGAGGAUGAUCAGCCACACUGGAAGUGAGACACGGACCAGACGCCGACGGGAGGCAGCAGUGGGGAAUGUUGGGCAAUGGGCGCAAGCCUGACACAGCGAGGCGGCGUGGGAGAAGAAGGCCUUCGGGUCGGAAAGCCCGUUUGUGGGGGAAGAAACAGUUUGGGCUAAUACAAGGCGGGGAUGACGGUACCGGAUGAAAAAGCAACGGCUAACUACGUG